GUUCCUAUAGCGCAAUGGAUAGCGCAUUGGACUUCUAAUCCAAAGGUCGUGAGUCCGAAUCCCACCUGAAAUG